GCCUGGGUGGCUCAGUCGGUUGAGUGUCCGACUUCGGCUCAGGUCAUGAUCUCACAGUCUGUGGGUUCGAGCCCCGUGUCAGGCU
rnacentral:tRNA from 1 species